rnacentral:lncRNA from 1 species
AUUUCCUCAUGCGUCCAGUAGGGGGAGGCUGUAUAUUAGUAUAUGAGCCUAGUCAUCAAAACAGCAGACCAUAUCUGUAUGAUAGCGGCAGACAUUUUUUUGAAGCGAUACGAAAUGAGGUAUGUAAAUAAGUUAUUGUUGUUGAUUGUAUUGUAAUGAUGCAACAUUUAUUAUUUAUAAACGAUUGAUGCGAUAUCAAUUCAAAAGAUGGGUCAAUAAUUUAUUUCGAGAGGCAAAAGUACUUGAUUGAGCCAGUCUGUCUGACUCAAACUUAGCUAACCACGUGUAGGUUAAGCUGGCCCUAGUCUUCUCUUUACCCGCUCUGUCUCACUCACUUUUAAAAUUAAAUUACAUUUUUAUUUUAUCUUGUUGUCUGUCUUUAGCUUGCGUGACAUGGCUUCUUCUGGGGAAGAAAUAAUAUCUAUACAGAGAGGUUGCAACUUACCUGCGCUUAACAGAUGCACCUCCUGCUGUUCCCUAUUUCACUGUCCUUUCUGUACUUCUGAUUUUUUCAAGCCCUCAAAGAAAAAUAAAGUACAAACUCAUCUUCAGCUUCACUUUUCUAGGGCAGUCGUCCAUGAAGGUAGCAUCAUUUAUGAUUGACUUUUUUGUUUCUAAAAAUGUUGUAAUGAAUGUUAAUGUUAAAUGGAUGCAUGAUUGACGUUUUUGUUUACUCAAAUAAAGCAAUGUCAACAUUGUCAGGGCACGCUGCAUAAAAGUUUAACAAAUAAGUUGUGCUGUGUCUUUCUCUGAAACAUUAAGCUGAUCACAUGAAGUAGGAAUGCAAGAAAAGGAGUGAUUUUUGUUUUGUUUUGUUUUUGUUUUUUUCUUUCAGAUUAUACAAUCCACCAGUGUGGUCUAGGUUGUGUGUCACAAUUACACUACCAUUGUGUAUAUUGUUCCUCAAUAAAAAUCCGACGUGACAACUUUGUGGCCCACUUGAAAGGCUGUAAGAAUACCAGAAAUUAACCACCGUUCCUGAUGUGGCUCCCUUAACUGCUAGUAGGUCCUUCAUAAAAUCACAACUACAAAACAGCAUAGUUAUUAAAGCAAAUUGCCCUCAUUUUCACAUUACUAUUCAAAAAAAGAAAUCUGGAGAGGAAACACACAAAAUCUAGGGACGACAUUACAGCAAGCCAUCACCUUUAUUCUGAUUGCAUAGACCGAGCUAACGGUGUCUAUGCCGUCCAGAAACAUUUUCUUUCUUCGAGUGUUCCGAUCCAUGUUGUGUACAAAAUCUGGGGAGCAGAGCAGAAUGUAAGAUGUGAGUUGCCAUCCUGUCAAGUUGAGAUUGACUUAGCCAGGAGGAGUGGACUAAGCCACUACAAAUGCCAUCACCUCAGGUCACUAGACUAUUGUGGGUCCUUUGCUGAUGAUCCUUCUCUUUCAGAAAGUACCCUGACAGAAAUGGUUCAGUGAAAGAAAGAGAGAUUGCCUACAAAGACAAAGCUUGGCCACCCAAGACAACAAACCCUUGUCUGUAGCGACAAAGGCGACAAUGCCAUAUUUAAAGAGGUGCAUUUCAGUGUAUGAGCCACAUGCAUCAUAUUAUGCCCAACUUGGAAGAAUAACGGUCACAUAUUAUGUAAAGCAGAACUCCUGGCAUUGUCCUUGUGCCAGGUCAAGAAGAUCCGGCCUCCAUAAAUACAUUGCAAAAUGGCACCUGUUCCAGACUGAGCAUUAGCUUUUCAGGACCGUCCAAAGCACAGAUCAGACCAGUCCAGUUCAUGAAAGUGUAGAUGACGCAGGCCUACUGUACCCCC